GGUGCAGGCACAGGUGUCUGUGUGGGCACAGGUGUCUGUGCAGGUACAGGUGUGCAAGCACAGGUGUCUGUGCAGGCACAGCUGUCCAUGUGUCUGUGCAGGCACAGGUGUCCAUGUGUCCGUGCGGGCACAGGUGUCAGUGUGUCCCUGCCAGCACAGGUGUGGUACCUGGAUGCGGCUGUUGCCCCAGUCAGCCACGAUGAUGUUGCCGUUGCUGUCCACGGCCACCCC